rnacentral:rRNA from 1 species
GAGUUUGAUCUUGGCUCAGAUUGAACGCUAGCGGCAGGCUUAACACAUGCAAGUCGAGGGGUAGAGUAGCAAUACUUGAGACCGGCGCACGGGUGCGUAACGCGUAUGCAACCUACCUUUUACAGAGGGAUAGCCCAGAGAAAUUUGGAUUAAUACCUCAUAGUAUAUGUCUUUCGCAUGUUAGACAUAUUAAAGUUCCAACGGUAAAGAUGGGCAUGCGUCCUAUUAGCUAGAUGGUAAGGUAACGGCUUACCAUGGCAACGAUAGGUAGGGGUCCUGAGAGGGAGAUCCUCCACACUGGUACUGAGACACGGCCCAGACUCCUACGGGAGGCAGCAGUGGGGAAUUGUUCGCAUGGGCGCAAGCCUGACGACGCAACGCCGCGUGGA